rnacentral:rRNA from 1 species
AUAAUUAAUUAAAAAAAUUUUUUCUUGAUAAAAUAUAAAUAAUUAAAUUAAUUAAUAAUAUAAUAAUAAAAUUAAAUAAAUAAAUAAAAAACUAGGAUUAGAUACCCUACUAUUCUACUAAACAAAUAAAAUUUAAAUAUUAAAUAAUAAAUUCUAAAUUUAAAAAAUUUGACAGUAUUUUACUUUAAUUAAAGGAAUUUAUUUUAUAAUUGAUAAUAAACAAUAAAAAAAACUUAAUAAAUAAUAUUUAUAUAUUGCUGUUUAAAUAAAUUUUUAUAAAUAAUAUAAUAAAAUUUCUUUAAAUAAAAAUUCAAGUCAUAAUAUAAUUUAUAAUUAAGAAAAAAAGAAUUACAAUAUAAAAACUUAAAUAAUAUAUUUUAAUUAUAUAUUAUAAAUAGAAUUUAAAAUUAAAAUAUUUUAAAUUAAAAUAUUUAAAAAAUAAAAUUAAAAUAGGUACAUAUCGCCCGUCAAUCUCAACAAAUUUAUAUGAGUUAAGUCGUAACAAAGUAAAACUACUGGAAAGUAUUUUUUUAAUU